AGUGGAAAACUGGGUCAAAUGGUGGUUCUGUACCUAAUUUUUUGAGGAAUCUUCAUACUGCUCUACAGAGUGGUUGCACCAUUUUCAGUCCUACCAGCAAU
rnacentral:pre_miRNA from 1 species